CUGAAGUCAAUGAAGCCGACUGGGUUCCUUUGCUCAUGGGCACCCAGUGUGCAACGGCUGUGAAGAACAACUCCUUGAUAAUGUAUGCAGCCUGCUGCUUGUAUGGGCUCCCUGCCUAAAGGGGUCUUGGAGACACUG
ensembl:snoRNA SNORA70 Small nucleolar RNA SNORA70